UGGCAAGCGUUGUCCGGAUUUAUUGGGCGUAAAGCGAGUGCAGGCGGUUCCAUAAGUUUGAUGUGAAAGCCUUCGGCUUAACCGGAGUAGUGCAUUGGAAACUGGGAGACUUGAGUGCAGAAGAGGAGAGUGGAACUCCAUGUGUAGCGGUGAAAUGCGUAGAUAUAUGGAAGAACACCAGUGGCGAAGGCGGCUCUCUGGUCUGCAACUGACGCUGAGGCUCGAAAGCAUGGGUAGCGAACA
rnacentral:rRNA from 1 species